rnacentral:rRNA from 1 species
CCUACGGGAGACAGCAGUGGGGGAUAUUGGACAAUGGGGGGAACCCUGAUCCAGCGACGCCGCGUGAGUGAAGAAGUAUUUCGGUAUGUAAAGCUCUGUCAGCAGGGAAGAAAGAAAUGACGGUACCUGACCAAGAAGCCCCGGCUAACUACGUGCCAGCAGCCGCGGUAAUACGUAGGGGGCAAGCGUUAUCCGGAAUUACUGGGUGUAAAGGGAGCGUAGACGGUUAAGUAAGUCUGGAGUGAAAGGCCGGGGCCCAACCCCGGGACUGCUCUGGAAACUAUUGAACUUGAGUGCAGGGGAGGUAAGCGGAAUUCCUAGUGUAGCGGUGAAAUGCGUAGAUAUUAGGAGGAACACCAGUGGCGAAGGCGGCUUACUGGACUGUAACUGACGUUGAGGCUCGAAAGCGUGGGGAGCAAACAGGAUUAGAUACCCUUGUAGUC